UAGNAUUCAAGUUGUCAGAGGUGAACCCCCUUGGAUUUAUUGAAGACUAACUACUGCGAAAGCAUUUGCCAAGGAUGUUUUCAUUAAUCAAGAACGAAAGUUAGGGGAUCGAAGACGAUCAGAUACCGUCGNAGUCUUAACCNUAAACUAUGCCGACUAGGGAUCGGAUGAUGUUAAUUUUUUAAUGACUCA
rnacentral:rRNA from 1 species